rnacentral:lncRNA from 1 species
UGAAUGGAGUGAUGAAGCCUUAGGAAUAAUGAAAGAUUUGCCCAAGCUCACCUGGAUAUUAAGACUGAGUCAAAUGUUGGGUUUGGUCUGACUUUAAUGUUUGCUUUGUUCAUGAGCACCACAUAUUGCCUCUCCUAUGCAGUUAAGCAGGGUCUCCCUCUGUUGUCCAAGGCUGGAGUGUAGUAGUGCUAUCGCAGCUGACUGCAGCCUCAACCUUCCAGGCUGAAGCAAUCCUCCCAUCUCAACCUCCCACGUGGCUGAGACUACAGGUGCUUGCCACUAUGCCCAACUAAUAUUUGGAAUUUUCGUACACGUGGAUUCCAGAGGGGUGACAGCGAAACGUGGGACCAUCCAGUUGC